CGGGGCUGGCCUACCAUGCAGUCGUGCGGAAGGCCCCUUCGGGGGUACUCGAGCGGCGGACGGGUGAGUAACGCGUGGGUAAUCUUCCCAUGAGUGCGGGAUAACCGGUCGAAAGGCUGGCUAAUACCGCAUAAGCUCACGGCCUCACAAGAGGCAGUGGGAAAAGCAGGGGAUCUUCGGACCUUGCGCUUGUGGAUGAGCUCGCGUCCCAUUAGCUGGUUGGUAGGGUAACGGCCUACCAAGGCGACGAUGGGUAGCUGGUCUGAGAGGAUGAUCAGCCACACUGGCACUGAGACACGGGCCAGACUCCUACGGGAGGCAGCAGUGGGGAAUAUUGGGCAAUGGGCGCAAGCCUGACCCAGCAAUGCCGCGUGAGUGAUGAAGGCUUUCGGGUCGUAAAGCUCUGUCGAUGGGGAAGAACAACCCGGGGUACAAUAUGCCUCGGGCCUGACGGUACCCAUAAAGGAAGCACCGGCUAACUCCGUGCCAGCAGCCGCGGUAAUACGGAGGGUGCAAGCGUUGUUCGGAAUUACUGGGCGUAAAGGGCGCGUAGGCGGCCCGUUAAGUCUGAUGUGAAAGCCCUCGGCUCAACCGAGGAAGUGCAUUGGAUACUGGCGGGCUCGAGUGUGAGAGGGGAGCAUGGAAUUCCUGGUGUAGCGGUGAAAUGCGUAGAUAUCAGGAGGAACACCGGUGGCGAAGGCGGUGCUCUGGAUCACAACUGACGCUGAGGCGCGAAAGCAUGGGGAGCAAACAGGAUUAGAUACCCUGGUAGUCCAUGCCGUAAACGAUGAGUGCUAGGUGUUGCGGGCUUCAACCCCCGCAGUGCCGGAGCUAACGCAUUAAGCACUCCGCCUGGGGAGUACGGUCGCAAGACUAAAACUCAAGGAAUUGACGGGGGCCCGCACAAGCGGUGGAGCAUGUGGUUUAAUUCGACGCAACGCGAAGAACCUUACCCAGACUUGACAUCCCGGGAACCCCUUGGAAACAAGGGGUUGCCCUUCGGGGGAGCCCGGUGACAGUGCUGCAUGGCCUGUCGUCAGCUCGUGUCGUGAGAUGUUGGAUAAGUCCCGCACGAGCGCAACCCUUAUCUUUAGUUGCCAUCGGGUAAUGCC
rnacentral:rRNA from 1 species